rnacentral:rRNA from 1 species
CCCUANUAACGGCGAGUGAAGCGGCAAAAGCUCAGAUUUGAAAUCUCUUUAUUUCAUAAAGCGAAUUGUAAUCUGUAGAAGGUUGAAUGGCUGAACGUCUGAUUUAAGUUCCCUGGAAUAGGACAUCAUAGAGGGUGAGAAUCCCGUGAUUAUCAGAAGCUACGCCAANAGAUUCACCUUUCGACGAGUCGAGUUGUUUGGGAAUGCAGCUCUAAAUGGGUGGUAAAUUUCAUCUAAAGCUAAAUACCUGCCAGAGACCGAUAGCGAACAAGUAGAGUGAUCGAAAGAUGAAAAGCACUUUGAAAAGAGAGUUAAAAAGUACGUGAAAUUGUUGAAAGGGAAGCGCUUGCCAUUAGACUUGAUUUUUGGAUUCAGCCUGCUCAUGGGCAGGUGUAUUUUCCAAUUUAUCAGGCCAGCAUCAGUUUGGGGGGAUUUAUAAAGGUAGUUGGAAUGUAGUAACCACUUCGGUGGUUAUGUUAUAGCCUUCUGCAUCAUACAUUCACCCUGGACUGAGGUCUGCUCUUCGGAAAGGAUGCGGCAUAAU